UCCGUGCGCGUCAAUCAAGCACAGCGGAGAGGAUCCGCACUCCGAGUCCGCAGCUGGCAGACGGCGCCUGUCUGUUUGAUCCUCCCUAAACUAGUGGCAGCUGAGACCACCGUAUUCUUUGAGACUUCAGAUACGCUCAACUGCUUACAUAACAGGCUGUUUUCAAUGAGACGGUUGCCAGGGAAAGCUGCUCUAACUAUUAGGAACAGAAAAUCGUUUUGGCAUUUUUGAACACUGAGGGCUUGAGACCAUCUUCAGUUUAAAGUGAUCGUUCCAUGUUUCCUGUGCAGACUCACAGCAUGGCUAAGCGUGUGGCUGUGAUUGGAGCAGGCAGCUCUGGACUGACCUCCAUCAAAUGCUGCUUGGAUGAAGG